AUUGAACGCUGGCGGCAGGCCUAACACAUGCAAGUCGAGCGGAUGAAGGGAGCUUGCUCCUGGAUUCAGCGGCGGACGGGUGAGUAAUGCCUAGGAAUCUGCCUGGUAGUGGGGAAUAACGUCCGGAAACGGGCGCUAAUACCGCAUACGUCCUGAGGGUGAAAGUGGGGGAGCUUCGGACCUCACGCUAUCAGAUGAGCCUAGGUCGGAUUAGCUAGUUGGUGGGGUAAAGGCCUACCAAGGCGACGAUCCGUAACUGGUCUGAGAGGAUGAUAAGUCACACUGGAACUGAGACACGAUCCAGACUCCUACGGAGGGACGCCGUGGGGAAUAUUGGACGAUGGGCGAAAGCCUGAUCCAGCCAUGCCGCGUGGGUGGAGAAGGUCUUCGGGUUGUAAAGCACUUUAAGUUGGGAGGAAGGGCAGUAAGUUAAUACCUUGCUGUUUUGACGUUACCAACAGAAUAAGCACCGGCUAACUUCGUG
rnacentral:rRNA from 1 species